rnacentral:rRNA from 1 species
GACGAACGCUGGCGGCGUGCCUAAUACAUGCAAGUUGAGCGCUGAAGGUUGGUACUUGUACCAACUGGAUGAGCAGCGAACGGGUGAGUAACGCGUGGGGAAUCUGCCUUUGAGCGGGGGACAACAUUUGGAAACGAAUGCUAAUACCGCAUAAAAACUUUAAACACAAGUUUUAAGUUUGAAAGAUGCAAUUGCAUCACUCAAAGAUGAUCCCGCGUUGUAUUAGCUAGUUGGUGAGGUAAGGGCUCACCAAGGCGAUGAUACAUAGCCGACCUGAGAGGGUGAUCGGCCACAUUGGGACUGGGACACGGCCCAAACUCCUACGGGAGGCAGCAGUAGGGAAUCUUCGGCAAUGGACGAAAGUCUGACCGAGCAACGCCGCGUGAGUGAAGAAGGUUUUCGGAUCGUAAAACUCUGUUGGUAGAGAAGAACGUUGGUGAGAGUGGAAAGCUCAUCAAGUGACGGUAACUACCCAGAAAGGGACGGCUAACUACGUG